UACGUAGGGGGCUAGCGUUGUCCGGAAUCAUUGGGCGUAAAGCGCGUGUAGGCGGUCCGGUAAGUCCGCUGUGAAAGUCGAGGGCUCAACCCUCGAAUGCCGGUGGAUACUGUCGGGCUUGAGUACGGGAGAGGCGAGUGGAAUUCCUGGUGUAGCGGUGAAAUGCGCAGAUAUCAGGAGGAACACCGAUUGCGAAGGCAGCUCGCUGGAACGUUACUGACGCUGAGGCGCGAAAGCGUGGGGAGCAAACAGA
rnacentral:rRNA from 1 species